ACCUCGCCGAUUAUUUAUCCCCUCCCACCCUGCCAACAACGGCCUCCGCCUCCUCCUCCGCCGCCGCCGGAUCCUCCCCCUCCACCGGCCGGCACCGCCGCCCCCCUCCCCGCCGGCCACCGUCAACCCCUCCCACCACCACUCCAACUCACAGGCGUCGUCGAGCAUCGCCAGUAACGCCUCCCAUCCGCACGAGGUCCACGCAUCGGCAUCCACCCAUCCACCCAUCCGCCUUUGACUGCCCAGUCCAGAUUCCGCAUCCAGAUCUAGCCGCGCGCGCGAGCGAUCCGGGGAGGGGGGCGAUGAACGGAGGCAUCGCUCCGCCGCCGGCCGCGGCCGCGCCGACGGAGGCGGCGACGGCGGCGACCACGCCCAGCCACCGCCGGCUGCCGGACUUCCUCCAGAGCGUGAACCUCAAGUACGUGAAGCUCGGGUACCACUACCUCAUCACCCACCUCAUCACGCUGCUGCUGCUGCCGCUCAUGGCCGUCAUCGUGCUCGAGGCCGGCCGCACCGACCCCGACGACCUCCGCCAGCUCUGGCUGCACCUCCAGUACAACCUCGUCUCGGUGCUCGUGCUCUCCGCCGUCCUCGUCUUCGGCGCCACCGUGUACGCGCUCACCCGCCCGCGCCCGGUCUACCUCGUCGACUUCGCCUGCUACAAGGCGCCCGACCACCUCAAGGUCGGCUUCCAGGAGUUCCUCCGCCACUCGGCGCUCUGCGGCUUCUCCGACGACGCCCUCGAGUUCCAGCGCAAGAUCCUCGAGCGCUCCGGCCUCAGCGAGGAGACCUACUGCCCCGAGGGCAUGCACGCCAUCCCGCCCGAGCCCACCAUGGCCAACGCCCGCGCCGAGGCCGAGUCCGUCAUGUUCGGCGCGCUCGACAGCCUCUUCGCCGCCACCGGCGUCAAGCCCAAGGACGUCGGCAUCCUCGUCGUCAACUGCAGCCUCUUCAACCCGACGCCCUCGCUCUCCGCCAUGAUCGUCAACCGGUACAAGCUCAGGGGCAACGUCCGGAGCUUCAACCUCGGCGGCAUGGGCUGCAGCGCCGGCGUCAUCGCCAUCGACCUGGCCCGGGACAUGCUCCAGGUGCACCGCGGCACCUACGCCGUGGUGGUGAGCACGGAGAACAUCACGCAGAACUGGUACUUCGGCAACCGCAAGUCGAUGCUCAUCCCCAACUGCCUCUUCCGCGUCGGCUGCUCCGCGGUGCUCCUCUCCAACCGCGGCGCCGACCGCCGGCGCGCAAAGUACAGCCUCAAGCACGUGGUGCGCACGCACAAGGGCGCCGACGACAAGGCCUUCAACUGCGUGUACCAGGAGCAGGACGGCGAGGGCAAGACGGGCGUGUCCCUGUCCAAGGACCUGAUGGCGAUCGCCGGCGGCGCGCUCAAGACCAACAUCACCACGCUGGGGCCGCUGGUGCUCCCCUUCAGCGAGCAGCUGCUCUUCUUCGCCACGCUGGUGUCCAAGAAGCUCUUCAACGCCAAGGUGAAGCCCUACAUCCCGGACUUCAAGCUGGCGUUCGAGCACUUCUGCAUCCACGCCGGCGGGCGCGCGGUGAUCGACGAGCUGGAGAAGAACCUGCAGCUGCAGCCGGUGCACGUGGAGGCGUCCCGGAUGACGCUGCACCGGUUCGGCAACACCUCCAGCAGCUCCAUCUGGUACGAGCUGGCCUACAUGGAGGCCAAGGGCCGGGUCCGGCGCGGCGACCGCAUCUGGCAGAUCGCCUUCGGCAGCGGGUUCAAGUGCAACAGCGCGGUGUGGCACGCCCUGCGCAACGUCAAGCCGUCGCCCAGCACCCCCUGGGACGACUGCAUCGACCGCUACCCCGUGGAGCUCGUCGACGGCUUCCCCACCCACACCCACACCCACAAGUAGCAGCAGCAGCAAUAGCAUCCGCGCCCGUCGCCAUUAAUGGAGCUCUUCCAGAUACAGAAACCCGAGCAUAGCAUGGAUCAAUUCAAAUCCAUUUAUGGUCAAUUACCAGAUGCAUAGAUGUGCAAGAAUGAAUCUCCAGGCGUGGUGCGAGUCUGCUCUGAUCCGUAUGAAUGCAACUCUGCCCUCAUCUUCUUCAUCGUUUUGAUUGAUUGGUUGGUGGUCUGUGUACUUGAGGAGGGAUCUGGACCCCAUCCUGCCCUGACCCUGUCCCUGCGGCAGUGUAUUAUUGGGUCUGUCGACUGAAGUAUGGAGCAUGUAUUUGUCAUGUCCAAUCGAUUUUUUUCUUCUGCUAUCAUAGUGUCCUUGAUUUAUACGCCUCAAA
rnacentral:rRNA from 1 species